UUAUAUCAUCGGCUGAAAAAUGGGGAAAGUUGGAUGAGGACCUUUGUUUCGGACAGUCUCCAGAGACUACAAGUUGAUCUCCUUAUCUGCAGAUUCUGUAGCAUGGACUGAAAAUAUUUUAAAAAUAUGAUGCCUCUACUGGACAGAGCUGGGACCCGGUUGAGGGGAGUGAAGCUCCAGGGGCCCACAAUACAAGGUGUCACUCACUCUAAGUCAGCCAGAAGCUCGGCCAGCACCUGAGGAUUGCUUCAACAAAGUAGGAACUCUGAGAAGACAACUGAGAGCUUGGUAGCAAAAGUCAUGAGUCCAGCAAGAUGGCUGAGCAGUGGUCCAAGAAGGAAGAGAAUUGAUGCCUCCCCUCACCCAACACCUAAAUGAGAACAUUAAGCCAGAAAGAGAAUUUAGACAGACUUGGUGUGGGACUGUUCGAGGUCUGGUGGAGCCAUUCAUGUAAACGAAUUAUGCAUUUCCUUCUUCCGUGACCUGCAUGGGGAGUGUGAGGGUGAUGGUUCUGUGACUUUUGUCUUCUCCAUCACCUGGGUGCUGUAGACUUAGCUCAGCAAGACCCUGUCUGUAAUCAGGGGUGCCUAAGCAAUGGCUGGGCAGGCUAUAUGUACCCCAGGAUAGCUACGAAUGUAGGCCAACACAAAAUCAAAAACUUAAAACAAUAUGGUUUUUUUGUGAUUAUUUUUUGUAAAUCAACUAUGUAAUGAGCUUGAACUUUGUAAAUGACAAUUGUAUCACCAUGUCUGAAGGUCGGACGCCAUAAUGUGCCUUUUUGCCCGAUCAUAAACUGGCAUUGUUUUAGCCACUAUCAAGGACAGGAAACCAGCUGAUGGCCAUAGAAAGAUGAGGAAUUGGCACAUUAUCCUGGAGGAAGAAAAAGAUGGGUCACUUUGGCACCUUGGAAUGCCUCUGGUGGGAUGGGAAGUUGGGCAGCAGAAGACUAGAGCACACAGUCAAAGGGGUGUCUUGGAGGAAGUUGCUCUGUUGAAACUUUUUAAGAAUGACAGGCUUCUGCAAGCCUCAUCAAAUAAAAUAUACUUGCAUUGUUUCA